rnacentral:rRNA from 1 species
AUGUCUGACGGCUCCCAGUGGGCCAGCACUUGGCUCGCCGGGGCGACGGAUCACGCGCGCGGCAACCACGCUAGCAUCAUUCAGGCAAUGCAUGCGCCACCGACCUCGGAGCCAGUGCUUGGCGGUGAGCCGGCGGAGUCCGGUGCGCUGAUCGACACGACGGGCGUGGACAUCUGGCUGCCGAUGCUGGUGUACGUUUCGCGCGAGAAGAAGCCCGGGUACGACCACAACAAGAAGGCCGGCGCCAUAACGCGCUGGUCAGGACGAGUGCCAUCAUGUCGAACGGGCCCUUCAUCCUCAACCUGGACUGCGACCACUACGUGCACAACUCGGCGGCGCUCCGCGAAGGGAUGUGCUACAUGCUCGACCGCCGCGGCGACCGCGUCUGCUACGUGCAGUUCCCGCAGCGGUUCGAGGGCAUCGACCCCAACGACCGGUACGCCAACCACAACCUCGUCUUCUUCGAUGUCGCCAUGCGCGCCAUGGACGGGCUGCAGGGCCCCAUGUACGUCGGAGGCUGCAUCUUCCGCCGCACCGCUCUGUAUGGGUUCAGCCCGCCGCGCGCCACCAAGCACCACGGCUGGCUCGGCAGGAAGAUCAAGCUGUUCCUGCGGAAGCCCACCAUGGGGAAGAAGACGGACAUGGAGCUGGUCAUGGCGAUUUUGCAAAAAUAACCCCGGAUCGAGUAGUAUUCACCCUAGGAUCGACUAUGUGGCGGUCAAAGCCUAG